rnacentral:rRNA from 1 species
GACGAACGCUGGCGGCGUGCCUAAUACAUGCAAGUAGAACGCUGAAGGAGGAGCUUGCUUCUCUGGAUGAGUUGCGAACGGGUGAGUAACGUGUAGGUAACCUGCCUGGUAGCGGGGGAUAACUAUUGGAAACGAUCGCUAAUACCGCAUAAUAGUAGAUGUUGCAUGACAUUUGCUUAAAAGGUGCAAUUGCAUCACUACCAGAUGGAUCUGCGUUGUAUUAGCUAGUUGGUGAGGUAACGGCUCACCAAGGCAACGAUUCAUAGCCGACCUGAGAGGGUGAUCGGCCACACUGAGACUGAGACACGGCCCAGACUCCUACGGGAGGCAGCAGUAGGGAAGCUUCGGCAAUGGACGGAAGUCUGACCGAGCAACGCCGCGUGAGUGAAGAAGGUUGUCGGAUCGUAAAGCUCUGUUGUAAGAGAAGAACGAGUGUGAGAGUGGAAAGUUCACACUGUGACGGUAUCUUACCAGAAAGGGACGGCUAACUACGUG